rnacentral:rRNA from 1 species
CACGAAAUUGUUUGAGCUAAUUUUCUUAAUAAUUUAUGUAACAUAAUAAUAUAAUGAAAGAAAAUUAGGGGUGAUAGGCUUAACAAAUACAAAGAUAACUUGAUUUUUAUGAAAUGUUACAGUACAUUAACAGUACUAGAGUUAUUAGGUUCUAGUAAACAAUAAAAUAAAUUUAAUAUCGUAUAUUGGUUUAAUAGCCUAUAUUUAAUGAACAUUACUAUUUAUAUUUAAGGGUUAUUUAUAAUAAUAAAACGUGUAUAAUUUAACGUCUCAUUGAAAAUGUUAUCAUAAGUAUUAAGAAGUUAUUAAUAGUGAACUCGGCUAUAUGCUUUCAACUAGUUUACCAAAAACAUAGCCACGUGUAAUUAUACGUGGUGUUUUCUGCUCAAUGAUUUUUAAAUAGCCGCAGUACCCUGACUGUGCAAAGGUAGCGUAAUCAUUUGUCUUUUAAUUGUAGACGUGUAUGAAUGAAUAUAUGGGGGCAUUCUUUACCAUUAAUAAGAUAAGAAGUUACUUAUUGAGUGCAAAUUCUCAAAUUUAAACAAUAGACGAGAAGACCCUAGAAAUUUUUAUAAAUAUUUUGUUGGGGCAACAUAGUAACAUAAAAUUUACUAUAUGUAUAUGAAAAAUAAUUUUGGUAAAAUAAAUUACUCUAGGGAUAACAGCAUAAUCUUUAAAUGUUUGUGACCUCGAUGUUGGAUUAGGGAGUUGAUGUUUAGAA